CCUUUUUUGCGUUAGGGCGCAAGUAUAUGUGUUAGAACACACGUUGGAUUUUCUUUUACCAGGUUUUCUGAACAUGGGUAAGUGCGGCAGUAAACCAUUGAACGCCCCUCGUAGUUACGUUGGGCCGGCAGAGGUAAUGAAAGAUAAGUAUGGUGUUUGGACAUGUGAACAAUUGUACCUCUGGGAGUUUUUGGGUUUUCCAAAGAAUGGCAGCUUUAGCCAAAGACAGUUGCAUGGGUUGAAAGAGAAGUUGGAGGAAUACGAGCAGGGGAAAAUUAAGAAAAUACAGAAGGGGAGACGGAAAGUAGAUUGGAAAGCUUAUGGUAUGUGGAAAGAAGAGACUGAUAAAAGAUUUAGGCAGAGUAGUGUAGGGACUAUUGAUCAAUGUGUUCUGGCUCCUCUUACUAAGGUUGAUGUGGAUCUGGAUUGCCCUCCGUCUGGCCGCCCUCCUUCAUAUUCUGCUGCCUCACCACGAAGGUCCACAGCAGAUCCUGAACCACAAGAAGAAAAGUCGCCGGAAAUGUCGCGAGAUAGUCCCACUCCUGUUCGGGAGACUUAUCCUGCACUCGCGGCCGACUUUUGUGCGACAUCCCCAAUUGCCUGGAGAACCAGGAGCGUCACGUCGUCUGGGAAGCCUGAAGGCCAUUUCCCGAUGGUAGAAGUUGCUAAUCCAUCCGUGGGAGGUGACGUACAGGGGCCCCCUACUAUUUUCGUCUACCGGCCAUGGUCGCCUGCCGACCUUAAAGACGUGGCCGCCUCACUACCCAACCCGGAAUUGGAAGGAGGAGAAGAAUUCAAUCGUGUUUUUCUCCAGAUGCUUGAACAAUAUAGACCAAAUAUAGUUGAAAUCGAAAUGGUCAUGAUGAAAGCCUUACAGCUCAGAUGGGGAAGGGUGAAAGGAGACUGGCCCGUGCAGAAUGGCCCGUAUAAUUGGGGUGCUGGUUCUCAAUACAGGAUAACCAUCAUGGCGCUGUGUGGACGGAUAGGUGCCUUUUUCCCGAGACGGAUGAACUGGGAGAAAAUUUCUGUCUGCAAACAGAAGCUGGGGGAAAGAGUCACAGACUAUCGUAAUAGACUUGAGAAAGAAUUUGAAAUUCACAGCGGGAUGGGCAAAAAACCAGACGGGGCUAAUGAUUCUCCCUGGGAACAACAGUGUAAGAUAAGACUGGUGGCUGGGUUGCUCCCAGAUUUGCAGAAACAUGUCAAAGAGCACUGCGUGGCCUUGGACGAGGGCCGCAUGGAAAUCGUUUGGCCGUAUAUCAAGCACGCCGAAAGAGUCUACGAGGACCAAGAAGAUAAGAAAAAAGACGACAGGGAGAAACGCGAAGCGAAACUACAGAUGGCCCAAAUAGG
rnacentral:lncRNA from 1 species